CCCUUAGAUGUUCUGGGCCGCACGCGCGCUACACUGAUGCAUUCAACGAGUCUAAAACCUGCUCUGAUAGGGGUGGGUAAUCUUUUGAAUGUGCAUCGUGAUUGGGAUAGAUGAUUGCAAUUUUUCAUCUUCAACGAGGAAUGCCUAGUAAACGCAAGUCAUCAGCUUGCAUUGAUUACGUCCCUGCCCUUUGUACACACCGCCCGUCGCUCCUACCGAUUGAAUGAUCCGAUGAAUAUCAUAGACUGAGAGUAUAAGCAGGUUCGCCUGUCUUUGCUUCUCGGGAAGUGAAGUAAAUCUUAUCAUUUAGAGGAAGGAGAAGCCGUAACA
rnacentral:rRNA from 1 species